ensembl:snRNA U6 U6 spliceosomal RNA
GCGUGCUUUGGCAACGCAUAUCCUGAAGUUGGAAUGAUAUAGAGAAGAUUAGCAUGGCCCCUGUGCAAGGAUAACAAGCAAAUAGAAAAUCCAACUAAACUGUAU